UGAAACCAGAUAUGACUUAGUGGCGGACGGGUGAGUAACACGUGAGCAACCUGCCUUUCAGAGGGGGAUAACGGCUGGAAACGGUCGCUAAUACCGCAUGAUACAUUUGGGUGGCAUCAUCUGAACAUCAAAGAUUUAUCGCUGAAAGAUGGGCUCGCGUCUGAUUAGAUAGUUGGUGGGGUAACGGCCUACCAAGUCUACGAUCAGUAGCCGGACUGAGAGGUUGAACGGCCACAUUGGGACUGAGACACGGCCCAGACUCC
rnacentral:rRNA from 2 species